UCACACUUCCAUAGGACUGAGGACUGAUCUGACCUUUGGUAUUUAAAAGAGAAAUCCAUAUCAUCUAAUUCAGGAGAGCAAGUAAGUCAGAGAGGUAUGCAUCUUUUUAGCGUGUGAAUAUAGUUACAUGUUCUUUUUACGUUUUCUUAACCAUUUUUAUUUCUGCAGGAUAAAGACCCGUUAAAACUCCAUUUUUAUUUCUGCUUCACCACAUAAAACUCCACCACAUAUGUUUGACUAUUUCAUUAUAAAUUACAGAUUUCUCUUGUCUUCUAACUCUCUGAUGACUUAGAGAUAUCAUUCUUAUUAUUUCAUUAUGCUCAACAAGCUUGUCCAAGAUAAAGACCAACUCCUCCAGGAUAAUGACUCUUGUUAGAACCUGUAGCAGCUACAACACAAGG